rnacentral:rRNA from 1 species
GACGAACCUUGCUAACGUUAUUCGGAAUCACUGGGCUUAAAGGGUGCGUAGGCUGUGCGGAAAGUUGGGUGUGAAAUACCUCGGCUUAACCGAGGAAUUGCGCCCAAAACUACCGUGCUUGAGUGAGACAGAGGUGAGCGGAACUUAGGGUGGAGCGGUGAAAUGCGUUGAUAUCCUAAGGAACACCGGUGGCGAAAGCGGCUCACUGGGUCUCGUCUGACGCUGAGGCACGAAAGCCAGGGUAGCGAACGGG